UGGAUCGAUGAUGAGCACUGGUGGAGUAUGAGUCACAUACGAUGAAUAUGUGUCUGGAACUCUGAGGUCCAU
ensembl:snoRNA SNORD114-26 small nucleolar RNA, C/D box 114-26